rnacentral:rRNA from 1 species
UACGAAGGGUGCAAACGUUGCUCGGAAUUAUUGGGCGUAAAGCGCACGUAGGCGGCUCUGUAAGUCGGAUGUGAAAUCCCUCGGCUUAACCAAGGAAGUGCAUCCGAAACUGCAAGGCUUGAGUACUUAAGAGGAUCGCGGAAUUCCCGGUGUAGAGGUGAAAUUCGUAGAUAUCGGAGGAACACCAGUGGCGAAGGCGGCGAUCUGGGAAGAUACUGACGCUGAGGUGCGAAAGCGUGGGAGCAAACAGG